CAUUUGAAACUGGUUGACUAGAGUUUUGUAGAGGGUGGUAGAAUUUCAGGUGUAGCGGUGAAAUGCGUAGAGAUCUGAAGGAAUACCAGUGGCGAAGGCGGCCACCUGGACAGAGACUGACACUGAGGCGCGAAGGCGUGGGGAGCAAACGGGAUUAGAUACCCCGGUAGUCCACGCAGUAAACGAUGUCUAUUAGAAGUUUGUGGCUAUAUGCCGUGGGUUUCAAAGCUAACGCAUUAAAUAGACCGCCUGGGGAGUACGGCCGCAAGGUUAAAACUCAAAUGAAUUGACGGGGGCCCGCACAAGCGGUGGAGCAUGUGGUUUAAUUCGAUGCAACGCGAAGAACCUUACCAUCCCUUGACAUCCAGAGAAUCACCUAGAGAUAGAUGAGUGCCUUCGGGAACUCUGAGACAGGUGCUGCAUGGCUGUCGUCAGCUCGUGUUGUGAAAUGUUGGGUUAAGUCCCGCAACGAGCGCAACCCUUAUCCUUAGUUGCCAGCACGUAAUGGUGGGAACUCUAGGGAGACUGCCGGUGAUAAACCGGAGGAAGGUGGGGACGACGUCAAGUCAUCAUGGCCCUUACGGGAUGGGCUACACACGUGCUACAAUGGCAAAUACAAAGGGUUGCUAACCUGCGAGGGUAUGCGAAUCUCAUAAAGUUUGUCGUAGUCCGGAUCGGAGUCUGCAACUCGACUCCGUGAAGUUGGAAUCGCUAGUAAUCGUGGAUCAGAAUGCCACGGUGAAUACGUUCCCGGGCCUUGUACACACCGCCCGUCACACCAUGGGAGUGGGCUGCACCAGAAGUCAUUAGCUUAACCUUCGGGAUGGCGAUGACCACGGUGUGGUUCAUGACUGGGGUGAA
rnacentral:rRNA from 1 species